rnacentral:rRNA from 1 species
UAGGCUGCAACUCGCCUACAUGAAGUCGGAAUCGCUAGUAAUCGCGGAUCAGCAUGCCGCGGUGAAUACGUUCCCGGGCCUUGUACACACCGCCCGUCACACCACGAGAGUUUGUAACACCCAAAGCCGGUGGGGUAACCUUUUGGAGCCAGCCGUCUAAGGUGGGACAGAUGAUUGGGUGAAGUCGUAACAAGGUAAC